GAAUGGGAGCGGAGGUGGUGGAGAUUCCCACCGUACGUCUCUCAAAUAUCCCGCAAUCCCUCAUAGCCAAAGACCUUCUACAGUACCUCGAAUCCCAACUCGGUCCAGACUCCGUCUUCGCCAUAGAAAUCUCCACAGAACGCAAGAACUGGAAAUCCCGAGGUUUUGGCCGUGUCCAAUUCACUUCCCUCGAGUUUAAAGAGAACGCC
rnacentral:misc_RNA from 1 species